rnacentral:rRNA from 1 species
UACGUAGGGUGCAAGCGUUGUCCGGAAUUAUUGGGCGUAAAGAGCUCGUAGGCGGUCUGUCGCGUCUGCUGUGAAAUCCCGAGGCUCAACCUCGGGUCUGCAGUGGGUACGGGCAGACUGGAGUGCGGUAGGGGGAGAAUGGAAUUCCUGGUGUAGCGGUGGAAUGCGCAGAUAUCAGGAGGAACACCGAUGGCGAAGGCAGUUCUCUGGGCCGUAACUGACGCUGAGGAGCGAAAGCGUGGGGAGCGAACCGG